GACGAACGCUGGCGGCGUGCUUAACAAAUGCAAGUGGAGCGACGAACCGGGGCUUGCCCCGGGGCAGAGCCGCGAACGGGUGAGUAACACGUGGGUAACCCACCCCGAUGACCGGGACAACCCGAGGAAACUCGGGCUAAUACCGGAUGUGCUCCUUGAUCUUGAGAUCAAGGCGUAAAGAUAGCUUCGGCCUUCGCAUCGGGACGGGCCCGCGGCCCAUUAGCUUGUUGGUGGGGUAACGGCCUACCAAGGCGACGAUGGGUAGCUGGUCUGAGAGGACGAUCAGCCACACUGGGACUGAGACACGGCCCAGACUCCUACGGGAGGCAGCAGUGGGGAAUCUUGCACAAUGCGCGAAAGCGUGAUGCAGCAACGCCGCGUGGGGGAAGAAGGCCUUCGGGUUGUAAACCCCUUUCAGUUGGGACGAAGCUUCGCCGGUGAAUAGCCGGCUGGAGUGACGGUACCUUCACAAGAAGCCCCGGCUAACUACGUGCCAGCCGCCGCAGUAACAC
rnacentral:rRNA from 1 species